GAUGAACGCUGGCGGCGUGCUUAACACAUGCAAGUCGAACGAAUCCUUUCUUCGGAUGGGGUUAGUGGCGAACGGGUGAGUAACGCGUUGGUGACCUACCCCAAAGUGUGGGAUAACAGUCCGAAAGGACUGCUAAUACCGCAUGUGGUUAUUGGACCUAGAAACCGCUAACUAAAGGAGCAAUUCGCUUUGGGAGGGACCUGCGUCCCAUCAGCUAGUUGGUGAGGUAAUGGCUCACCAAGGCGACGACGGGUAGGGGACCUGAGAGGGUGGCCCCCCACAAUGGAACUGAAACACGGUCCAUACACCUACGGGUGGCAGCAGUAGGGAAUAUUGCACAAUGGGCGAAAGCCUGAUGCAGCAACGCCGCGUGUGUGAUGAAGGCCUUCGGGUCGUAAAGCACUUUUCUGGGAGAUGAGAAAGGACAGUAUCCCAGGAAUAAGUCUCGGCUAACUACGUGCCAGCCGCCGCCGUAAAAC
rnacentral:rRNA from 1 species